UACGUAGGGUGCAAGCGUUAAUCGGAAUUACUGGGCGUAAAGCGUGCGCAGGCGGUUUUGUAAGUCUGUCGUGAAAUCCCCGGGCUCAACCUGGGAAUUGCGAUGGAGACUGCAAGGCUAGAAUCUGGCAGAGGGGGGUAGAAUUCCACGUGUAGCAGUGAAAUGCGUAGAGAUGUGGAGGAAUACCGAUGGCGAAGGCAGCCCCCUGGGAUGACACUGACGCUCAUGCACGAAAGCGUGGGGAGCAAACAGG
rnacentral:rRNA from 1 species